UUAUACUAACGCGUGUGCAUUGUUUAUUUAAUUAGACUAUAACCAGGGAAUCACAGAGGAAAGCCUUAUAAUAGCAAUGUGAGUGAUCCUUCUUUUUAUGAACUCAUUUUUGUAACUUAGCGUAAAGCCAAUAGAAGCCAGCUGGAGAGCACUGAAGGCUUGGAAAAGUGGCAAUAAAGUUACCUAAAAUAAAACAGAUGUUUUUAUUAAAUAAAAUAGGAUUUAUACCUAUGAAAAUGUAUGUACUGAAAAACUUGGGUUUUAUCCCAUGUGUUUAAUAUAACGAAAAUGUGGUGGUUUUACUCUG
rnacentral:lncRNA from 1 species